UGGAAGGAAAUUGCUCUGUCAUAUGUCUUGUGGUGAUCACUUAGCUGCUGACAUGGUGGGAUGGAGGAUUCCAGAAUGCGUCAUGACUCACUGCCAUUGUGUUUACAGACUUACAGCAUACCAUGAAGACUCUACAUUAAAGCCACUUCUUAAAGCAAAUGCCAUGUCCUACAGUGCCAUCUGCAGAGAAGCAGUUUGCACUUGACAGAAAUCAAGGUCUUCUAAAUCCAGCACCACAGGGAUUCAAAUCUCCGUUGACAAGUGUUUAUAAAUGACUCGCAACCAGAACAUAUAUGUGGAAUCAGCACACAAAACUGGCAAGAGCACUGGUUCCGCUGCAGAAAUUACACACAAGAGGAGCUCUUUCUGUGUGCUUUCAUGCAUCAGUCUAGAGCCAGUUCUUCCUCAUUCACAUUGAAACGUCAGGUUCGGCCUGAAUAAUGUUUCCAUGCGGGCCUAAAAACUUCUGCAAAAAUUCGAUGGAAGUAAAAAUCACACAAGACCUCAUCACACUCCUCCAUGUGAUCUCAAUAUUUUUAAAGAAAAUAUUUAUAUACGUUUUAUUUAUAAACCACUAUUCUAAGACUUAUAAGUCUAUAAAGCUUCCAUUUGGGCAAAAAUGUAAUCUCCCAAGAUAUAGCAGCUCUCUAAGCUAAAAAUAAGAGAGAAUAUUUUUGAAGAGACAAGAGUCUCAGGUUCCUUGUGAGGGAACUCAAAAUAUUUCACCCCAAAAUAUGGCAAUCUGAGUGUUUUAAGUUAAAACCUCAUAGAGAUCAAUAAGCACUGGAGGAGAGUUUUCCCCUAUCAACAGAAAGACAGGACUGACUCACCCAGGAGAACAAUUGUUCUUGUUCCCCUCCCUGGUAUCUCAUUAUUCACUACAGGAAAGAAGACCAAAAAUGUAAGCAUACUUGAACAUACAUUUUUCAAGAUAAUGAGUGUCUCAAAUGAUUAUUUAAAUUCCAAAGAGAACUAUUUACAAGUUAAUUUCUGUUCCAGUUAUUUUCCUUAGUAAUCAUUUAUUGCACAUCAAUAGAAUUCCUCUUCCCACCCUCCCAUAGCCUGUUCUGCCAGGAUCCAAGCCUUCAUUCUUUCUGUAACCUCAAGAUGGUAUGUCAACCUUUGUACCUCAUUGGGAAGCUGGGUCUUCAUUUUGAAGGCUUCCAAAUAUACACAUUAAAUAAAUUUGUAUGUCUUUUCUCCUAUUAGUCAAUCUUCUUCUUGUCAGUGAUUUUCAGUGAACCUUUAAGGGGUCAAGUUUUGGCCCCCACACCUGCCUUCAGUAGCACGUUUGUUUGAAGGUGGAUCAAC
rnacentral:lncRNA from 1 species